rnacentral:rRNA from 1 species
CGGGGUGCAGCAGGCGCGAAAUCUCCUGCAAUAGGCGAAAGCUUGACAGGGUUACUCUGAGUGAUUCCCGCUAAGGGGAUCUUUUGGCACCUUUAAAAAUGGUGCAGAAUAAGGGGUGGGCAAGUCUGGUGUCAGCCGCCGCGGUAAUACCAGCACCCCGGGUGGUCGGGACGAUUAUUGGGCCUAAAGCAUCCGUAGCCGGUACUGCAAGUCUUCCGUUAAAUCCACCUGCUUAACAGUUGGGCUGCGGGGGAUACUACAGCGCUAGGAGGCGGGAGAGGCAAGCGGUACUCAGUGGGCAGGGGUAAAAUCCUCUGAUCCAUUGAAGACCACCAGUGGCGAAGGCGGCUUGCCAGAACGCGCUCGACGGUGAGGGAUGAAAGCUGGGGGAGCAAACCGGAUUAGAUACCCGGGUAGUCCCAGCUGUAAACGAUGCAGACUCGGUGAUGGGCCGGCUUUAUGCCAGCUCAGUGCCGCAGGGAAGCCGUUAAGUCUGCCGCCUGGGGAGUACAGUCGCAAGACUGAAACUUAAAGGAAUUGGCGGGGGAGCAC